rnacentral:lncRNA from 1 species
UUGUAAUCCAUAUCAUGUUUUUCUAUCUAGGCUACUUAAUUUCGAUUGUAAUUUGUAGGAUCCCUUUGCACUGUUACAUGCAAAAAAUUCCCAUUCAUACAAAUGCCUUGUAAGAACUCUGCAUUUUCCCUACGGCGUAUCAGACACCCUUUGGUGAAACCUUAUGAUUUCCAAUCCUUUAUGGCCCAGGAAGAACUCUGUGUUUCCCCUACGGUGUAUCAGACACCCUUUGGUGAAGCCCUAUGAUUUCCAAUCCUUUAUGGCCCAGGAAGACAUGCCAUUGCAAUUUUGGGUUUCAUAUUCCUCUAUGGAAUUUUUGAAUUGGAUACCCUUAAGUUUGCAAUUUCCCUAUCUGGUCAAUCUGCGUACACAUAUAUACAACAACAAAGCCUUUCAGUCCCAAACAAGUUGGGGUAAGCUACAGUUGAAACCCAUAAGAUACCGAAACCAAGCCAUGGUUCUGGCACGUGGAUGGUUAACUUCCACACACCCUGCCCAUGGCUAAAUCUUUGGUGAUAUUCCAGUCCUUAGACAUGACAUGCAGAUAUUUCAACCAACCAACAUACAGUACCGCCUUUCAGUCCCAAACAAGUAGGGGUAAGCUAGAGUUGAAACCCAUAAGAUAUCGUAACCAAGUAAUGGUUUUGACACGUGGAUAGCUAACUUCCACUCACCCCUAUCCAUGGCUACAUCAUUGGUGAUAUUCCAGUCCUUCAGACAUGACAUGCAGAUAUUUCAACCAACCAACAUACAGUACCCACCUUGCCGUGCAAUGCAGCGGCCACAUAUGAUAACAUCUUCGUUUUGUUCCUGGUAGAAUAUGGAGUAGCCUAAUAUUCAUGGUAGAUAACUUUCUCUUUGGCCAGAGAAUUGUGUUAUUUAUGUAAUUAGUACCAGUGGGAACUGGAGUUACUGGACUAAUAUUUUAAAUUGGUCUCGUUUUUCUAUUAUUUUGUUUUGUUUAAUCUUUGGGAAUGGAGGAGAAAGGGAUGAAUUGUUAGAAAUUGCAGUUUGAAUUUUGCUCAACUGUACUAGUUUUUGCAGAAAUGACAUAUAUGCAG